ACAAACUUGGUCAUUUAGAGGAAGUAAAAGUCGUAACAAGGUUUCCGUAGGUGAACCUGCGGAAGGAUCAUUAAAGGAUUUAAAUGAGGGAAGAAUAUACUUUCUUCUCUCAAAAUCUCUGAACUUGUGGUAUUAAUGAAAUAAUGAUGUAAUUGGGUUUAAAAAUGGUUUUUUUCUUUUAGAAAAAGAUCGACCCAAAUACUUUUUUUCAUAAACUCUAUUAUUAUUUACCUUGACUGAAAUCAAAAUUAAUCCAAUUUUGGAUUAUAAAAAUGUUUUUUAAACAACUUUCAACAACGGAUCUCUUGGUUCUCGCAUCGAUGAAGAACGCAGC
rnacentral:misc_RNA from 1 species